CUGGUCUCGAACUCCUGACCUCGUGAUCCACCCACCUCGACCUCCCAAAGUGCUGAGAUUACAGAUGUGAACCACCACACCGGGUCAAAAGCAGUGCACAUUAUCUUUAGCAAGCUAACACAGAAACAGAAAACCAAACACCGUGUGUUCUCACUUAUAACUGGGAGCUGAAUGUGAGAACACAUGGAUAAAUGGGGUUAGGGGGCAAGGACAACAGACACUGGAGCCUGUUGGAGGGUGGGGGUUGGGAGGAGGGAGAGCAUCAGGAAGAGUAGCUAAUGGAUGCUGGGCUUAGUACUUGGGUGAUGGGAUGAUCUGUGCAUCAAACCACCAUGACACAGGUUUACCUAUGAGACAAACCUGCACAUCCUGCACAUGUACCCCUGAACUUAAAAUAAAAGUUGGAAAUAAAAAAUGUAAAAAGGAAAGAAAAUAAACAACAACAACAAAAAGAACGGUGCAAAUCUAUACCACGCUCAUUAUAAACAAAAGAAUAACAGUGAAAACAUGAAUAUCCGACAAAAGUAAACAGCAAAAGAACGCUGUAUGUUAACUAGAGGAGUAAUAUCCUAGCAUCUACCUAGAAUCAAAUGGAACUGUUUUUCCCUGAACUGGCCUCCUUGGGUGGCCGACCAGGGCCAGGUGAAGAGAAGAAUUCUGGGAGUGAAAUGUCCAUUUAUUCCCUCUUGUUUUGGUCUCUGUAAGGCAUAAGAAGUUAAAAGCAAGAUCUGAUCCCUGGCGUUUUCCAGGAACUCAAAAGAGGUGUAGGAGGAGAGAAGCUCAAUUAUCACCCUGGUCUCCUGGAGUAUCCCAGGCACAGUCCCAAGAGUUCAGCUUUUCAUACUCGAGUUCCUGGGUCCUGAAGGCCUUUUUGGGGAAAGUACUGAUGUUCGUGUCAAGGUUGGGAAGAAAGGGUUUGGGAGGAACCAAGCAACAGGGAGGCAAAGAGAAGACAUCAACAAGCGAGGCAAGAACUUUCCACAGGCUCACACUGGAUACAGGACCAGAGACAAGAAGCUGGUAGAGACGGGGUUUCACCAUGUUGGCUAGGCUGAUCUUGAACUACUGACCUCACAUGAUCCACCAGCUUCGGCCUCCCAAAGUGCUGGGAUUACAGGCGUGAGCCCGGGCCCCGGAGAGGAAUUUAUCUAAGCCGAGACUUUGCAGAGACUGUCUUUGAAGCAGCCAGUGGGUCUGGUUGGUCUCUGCGUUUCUACAUAUUUGGCCCUAAAACCGGCGCGACUUUUAUCGUCUCUGCUGUCGGAUCCCUGCAAUACAAAGAGCGAAGCCUAUAUGGGUUCCCGAUGUCACAUCGCAGCUACCGCAUUGGAGGGUUAAGAGCCGCUGACAAAUCUCUUUCGGGAAGGGGCUGUUUUCCUCAGAAGAAGAGUUCCAAACAAAAGAUCUACUACCCUGAGAAGCAGUGAAGUGCUCCUGGGGCCCACCAAGGCCACACAAGUCAAGGAGUGGAUGGCCUUGCCCCAGCUAUGGCUCAGAUCACCUUUGCAGGAUGACAUCUUGUGGGGAGAUGGUCAUCAGAGACAGGGCCAUGGAAGACGCUGUCAGGAGGAGGCACAGAGGAAAGGCUAUGGGAGCACAAAGCAAGAAAGUGGCCUUCUGCAAGCCAGGAAGAGAGGCCUCCCCAGAAACCAACUCUACCAGCACAUUGAUCUUGGACUUUUGGCCUCCAGAUUAUUGAGAAAAUAAAAGUCUGCUGUUAAACCACCCAACCUUUGGUAUCUUUCUAUGGCAGCCUGAGCUGACUAACACCCUUGGCAGGACACAGGUGGAGGAACUGGUAAUCUUCUCAGGGCUUUGCCUGAAAUGGUGUUGUGAAAUGUUCCAGCAAAGCCCAUUUAGGAGAGCCUAUAUGGACAAGGAUUCUUGCUGCACUUUGUGUGGGUAAUCAGGCCAACUAUAUGGGACUGAAGCUUCUUUUGCAGGUAGGUUGGUCCUGCUGUGUUUUGUCUUUAGUGGAAAUGGGGAACUGGAGAGAGGAAGAUUGUGUUUCAGGAGAAACUACAGUAUUAGAUGAAUGUUUGAUUCCUGGGUGGCCAUGCGGUCACUCAUGGUGUGGAGCCGCUCAGGAUGCCCCUUCUCCUCAUGACAAAGCCAGACAGAUGCAUGACCAGAUUCCCCAUGAUUGAGGAACUGACAAAUAGAAAGUGGGGGCUGAAAUCGACCCAAUAGUCCCACAUACAGUGUUUUUGGAUAGACUUAAAAAUGGACCCUUCUGGUCUUAAAGCUUGAAACUUACAUUUGUUUUAUCUGAGUUCCUUCCUCAGGAAAGGACCCUCAGCCUCUCAAAAAGCAUCAUAGACCUGAAACUCAGCAGAUCACAGCAUCCAGACAAUGACUUGCCAGUCCCUUCACUCAUCAUGAGUGCUUCCUCACCCUUCCCUAGUUCCUCUUUUCCCACACACAGUUACGUUUCUUCCCUGCUGUAUAAACCCCUCAUUUUAGUUGAUCAGGGAGAUUGAUUUGAGACUGAUCUUCCAUCUCCUCAGCUGCAGCACCCAAUUAAAGCCUUCUUCCUCGGCAAUACUCAAUGUCUCAAUGAUUGGCUUUCUGUGAGCUGAGCAGCAGGGCCUAGAUGGAACUCCUGGGCUUUCAGUAACAAUACAUGUGCACUUUUAAACACCGCAAUUAAUGGGUCAUGAGAUAUUGAGAAAUUGGAAUGGCAUCAACUUGGCCAAUUCUGAGAAAACACACUGUGCUUAAAUGUUAGGGCCCUGCCUCCUGACCUCGACAGUAUAUGGUUGAUUUUGAGUCAUAGCAGGUGAGUAUGGCCUGGUUUCAGGGUUUUAUAGAAAUAUAAAAUAUGGCUGAUCGCAUUUAUUUUAAAUCCAACAAAUCUCCAUUUCUGGUGAGAAAAUUUUUUUAAAACCAACCAAACAAACAAACAUAGAAGAAUAUGAAUAAAAAAAUAAGGGAUUCCCUGCUUCCCAAUC